CUUCCGUAGGUGAACCUGCGGAAGGAUCAUUACUGAAUUGUCAAACGGGUUGUUGCUGGCCCUCAUAGGGGGCAUGUGCACRCUCUGUUUACACAUCCACUCACACCUGUGCACCCUCUGUAGUUCUAUGGUCUGGGGGACCCUGUCUUCCUUCUGUGGUUCUACGUCUUUACACACACACUGUAAUAAAGUUUUAUGGAAUGUACAUCGCGUCUAACGCAAUACAAUACAACUUUCAGCAACGGAUCUCUUGGCUCUCGCAUCGAUGAAGAACGCAGCGAAAUGCGAUAAGUAAUGUGAAUUGCAGAAUUCAGUGAAUCAUCGAAUCUUUGAACGCACCUUGCGCCCCUUGGCUAUUCCGAGGGGCAUGCCUGUUUGAGUAUCAUGAACACCUCAACUCUCAUGGUUUGCCAUGAUGAGUUGGACUCUGGGGGUUUUGCUGGCCUGUGGUCGGCUCCUCUCAAAUUAAUCAGCCUCCCAGUGUUUGGUGGCAUCACGGGUGUGAUAAAUAUCUACGCUCGCUGUUGUCUGCCAGGUAACCUUUGGUCACAAAGGUUUGCUGGAGCUCACAGAUGUCUCUCCUCAGCGAGGACAGCUUUUUUAACGUUCGAUCUCAAAUCAGGU
rnacentral:rRNA from 1 species